rnacentral:rRNA from 1 species
CAGCAUCUGAAGUGAAGUAGGACCACCCGCUGAACUUAAGCAUAUCAUUAAGCGGAGGAAAAGAAACUAACAAGGAUUCCCUCAGUACGGGCGACGGAAGCGGAAAAGCC